CAAGGUUUCCGCUGGCGGUCGCCAUUUUCGCAAUUUGCGAAAAAAUAAUAAUUGUGGCGAUAAAAAUUCGUCAUUUGCGAAAGAAUUUGGCGAAAGAAAUAUAUAUAACGAUUCAUUUUCCUCCAUCUUGUUUAUUUACUUUUUUUCGAGUUUCUCGAACUUUACCCGAUCAGACAAUACUCGGAAUUCACCUUGACCUCAAGGCCAAAUGAUUUGGACAGAAAAUCAAUAAUCAGCUGAUUGCAUUUCAUAGCUAUCGAUAACAAAGGACUAAUUAAUAAAGGUGUUGAUUGAAUUGUUUGACAAAAUGAUAUGGUUAAAUGGCUUCUGCUAAAUGUCGCAUACAGAAUUAAUUUACUACUUUGCGACGCACGUGUUUGAAGCAAACUUUUGACGUCUCCCUCCAGAAAGCUGUUGUUGUGACGAAAAAUAUUCAAAAGCAAGAAAAAUCUCCGAUUUAUCCUUUGACUUUAAUAUAGGUAAUUGAUUAGGGAGAUUACUUAAAAGUCGUUUAAGUGACACACAUGUU
rnacentral:lncRNA from 1 species